rnacentral:tRNA from 1 species
GCUUCAGUGGUCGAGUGGUAGAAGCUCUGCUUCUGCACGCAGAGGCCCCGGGUUCGAUCCCCGAUUGGAGUA